rnacentral:rRNA from 1 species
UACGUAGGGGCCUAGCGUUGUCCGGAUUUAUUGGGCGUAAAGAGCUCGUAGGCGGUUCGGCAAGUCGGAUGUGAAAUCUCCACGCUCAACGUGGAGACGCCACCCGAUACUGCUGUGGCUAGAGUCCGGUAGGGGAGCGUGGAAUUCCUGGUGUAGCGGUGAAAUGCGCAGAUAUCAGGAGGAACACCAGCGGCGAAGGCGGCGCUCUGGGCCGGAACUGACGCUGAGGAGCGAAAGCGUGGGUAGCAAACAGG